AUUGAACGCUGGCGGCAUGCCUUACACAUGCAAGUCGAACGGCAGCAUAGGAGCUUGCUCCUGAUGGCGAGUGGCGAACGGGUGAGUAAUAUAUCGGAACGUGCCCUAGAGUGGGGGAUAACUAGGCGAAAGCUGUGCUAAUACCGCAUACGAGCUACGGACGAAAGCGGGGGAUCGCAAGACCUCGCGCGAUUGGAGCGGCCGAUAUCAGAUUAGCUAGUUGGUGGGGGAAAGGCCCACCAAGGCGACGAUCUGUAGCUGGUCUGAGAGGACGACCAGCCACACUGGAACUGAGACACGGUCCAGACUUCUACGGGAGGCAGCAGUGGGGAAUUUUGGACAAUGGGCGCAAGCCUGAUCCAGCAAUGCCGCGUGCAGGAUGAAGGCCUUCGGGUUGUAAACUGCUUUUGUACGGAACGAAACGGCCCUUUCUAAUACAGGGGGCUAAUGACGGUACCGUAAGAAUAAGCACCGGCUAACUACGUGCCAGCCGCCGCGGUAA
rnacentral:rRNA from 1 species